rnacentral:rRNA from 1 species
UACGUAGGGUGCAAGCGUUGUCCGGAAUUAUUGGGCGUAAAGAGCUCGUAGGCGGUCUGUCGCGUCUGCUGUGAAAACCUAGGGCUUAACUCUGGGCGUGCAGUGGGUACGGGCAGGCUAGAGUGCGGUAGGGGAGACUGGAAUUCCUGGUGUAGCGGUGAAAUGCGCAGAUAUCAGGAGGAACACCGGUGGCGAAGGCGGGUCUCUGGGCCAUUACUGACGCUGAGGCACGAAAGCGUGGGGAGCAAACAGG